rnacentral:rRNA from 1 species
UGGGGAAUAUUGCACAAUGGGCGCAAGCCUGAUGCAGCAACGCCGCGUGAACGAUGAAGGUCUUCGGAUCGUAAAGUCCUGUUGCAGGGGAAGAUAAUGACGGUACCCCGUGAGGAAGCCCCGGCUAACUACGUGCCAGCAGCCGCGGUAAUACGUAGGGGGCUAGCGUUAUCCGGAUUUACUGGGCGUAAAGGGUGCGUAGGUGGUCUUUCAAGCCGGUGGUUAAAGGCUACGGCUCAACCGUAGUUAGCCUCCGAAACUGGAAGACUUGAGUGCAGGAGAGGGAAGUGGAAUUCCCAGUGUAGCGGUGAAAUGCGUAGAUAUUGGGAGGAACACCAGUAGCGAAGGCUGCUUUCUGGUCUGCAACUGAAACUGAGGCACGAAAGCGUGUGUAGCAAACAGG